GCUUCAUGCUUUCAUAAUGCAGCCUCCUAAAUUCAUCUGAUAAAUACAAAAUGGCUUAUGUGCCCUUUUCAGUGGUGGGGGGCUGAAGUCCAAUUUCUUAGUUUGCAGUUGGGAUACAAUCUCUCCUGUGUUUUUACAGGAUUUAACAUAACCUGAGCUCAGUCCCGUGGCUGCCCAAAAGCCCUGUUUCAGCAGGUGUGCCCCACAGGAGCAGUGGUGGUUGAUAAUGCCAGAUUUCACACUGCUGGCUCACAGUGCAAGACAUGUCUUUGACCUCUGGUGCCCACAUUUUGCUCAGCUUCACAGGAGAAAUGAACCUUGGCUGCUGUUCUUUGACCUUUGCAUGGUGAAAACUAUACAGAAAUUGCUAUGUUCUCUCUGGGUCACAUGAGAAGCCUCUGGCAUGAGCUUGAGAGA
rnacentral:lncRNA from 12 species